UACAGAGGGGGCAAGCGUUGUUCGGAAUUACUGGGCGUAAAGGGCGCGUAGGCGGCCUUCUAAGUCGAACGUGAAAUCCCCGGGCUCAACCCGGGAACUGCGUCCGAUACUGGCGGCCUCGAGGGGGAUAGGGGCAUGCGGAACUUCCGGUGGAGCGGUGAAAUGCGUAGAUAUCGGAAGGAACACCGGUGGCGAAAGCGGCGUGCUGGAUCCCUUCUGACGCUGAGGCGCGAAAGCCAGGGGAGCGAACGGG
rnacentral:rRNA from 1 species